rnacentral:rRNA from 1 species
UACGUAGGGUGCAAGCGUUGUCCGGAAUUAUUGGGCGUAAAGAGCUCGUAGGCGGUCUGUCGCGUCUGCUGUGAAAUCUCAGGGCUUAACCCUGAGCUUGCAGUGGGUACGGGCAGACUAGAGUGCGGUAGGGGAGACUGGAAUUCCUGGUGUAGCGGUGAAAUGCGCAGAUAUCAGGAGGAACACCGGUGGCGAAGGCGGGUCUCUGGGCCGAUACUGACGCUGGAGGAGCGAAAGCGUGGGGAGCGAACAGG